GCUAUGUGGCCUCUUGGGGAGAUGUUCAAGGUCACAAGAACACCAUGGCAGAACCAUUCCCCUAUACCCACAACUAGAAUGAAAGUUCCGUGAGACUGAAGUCUGUAUCUGGCUUGUUCACUGCUGUAUCUCCAAUACCUGGAAGAGUGCCUCACACACCGCAGAUGCUCAGUAAAUACUUUAUGAGUGCCGCAAAUAUCAAACCAGAGUCUGAGCAAACUGCAGUCUCUCCGUGGAAACUCUGUGUCCCUUUAAAGCUAACAGGCUUAAUGGCUGGAUGCUGUCCCUGCAAAGACACCUGAGAAGGGGAUCAGAGAAGCAAGUCGCCUAAGUAUUAAUAAAGCAGAACUUCCAGGAUGAAAGUUUUGCCCGGGGCAGUGACAGCCUCAUCAAAGGGAAGAAAUGAGCCUGGUGACCAGGAACUCCACUCCCAGAGAAGAAGUGGAUCUGUUUCUCCUCUGGUUUUUGAAGAGCCAGCUCGGGGUCCAAGCACACCCCCAUCCCACCCCCAGCAUCAUGUGAUGGUCCCUCCUGCAUCUGUCCUCCCAAGCCUUCUUGAAUGAACAAAGCCUGACCAGUUUUGGGGGGAAUGAUUUUGCUCCUGCCUGUGUUGGCCAGAGGUGUUGGGACAGUGUGAUUUCUAAGUGAUUUCCU